UUGGAAGAGACGAGCAGGUUCUUCUUCCAGGUAUGAAAAGAAAUUUGACUACAUAUUUCUUGGUCUGCCAUUGCAUUUCUAUAUCUUUGCUAUCUUAUUGCAUUGAAUGACAUGAUUGACAUCUAUUUCAAAAUGUGCAUAUACUUCAACAAUUGAUAGUAUGUGUGUUAUAAUUUUGUUGAUUAGUUAUUAUUCCUUAUUGCCACUGUGUUGCUUCCAAAUUUAAACAUGACAUAUUUUGAUAGACUGUAUUAGAUGGCGCCGACUAAUCUUAGAUGUCGGCGGACAUUUGCAACCUGCACAAAAAAACAGUGGAGCCUAGAUUCAUAGAUUUUGACGACCUCGAAUAUUCUGAUACAUUCAGAAUUUGUAGCAUAUGUGUGAGGGUAGAUGUCAAAUUCCCGGUUAAUCGAAGUGGUGAUAACCUUCACUUCAUUCUUAUGGACAGAACUGUAAGUCUCGAGCAUGUCAGCUUGCUAAAAUAAACAUAUGGUUAUCAUCAUCUAACAUUUUCUAAAACAAUUCUAAGGGUGCCAAAAUCGAAGCUAUUGUAUGUGGAAAAGAUUUAGUGAAUAGAUUCAAUCUUACUUUGCACAUGGGGAGGAACUACAUCAUUCAUGGUGUUACUGUGCGCCCUAACUUUGAAGAACUGGAGUGUAGAUACAUUCAACACACAUAUGAGUGUUCCUUCAGUGCAAGGACAUUUGUUGAGUUCAUCUUACUUCAAUUUCCAACGUAUCCCAAGCAUUUGAUGUCAUUCCAGGAAAUUCAGAGGUGUCCAAAGCAAACUUUCAUAGGUAUGCAUUCAGGCAUAUAAUAGUUACUAACACAAUGGUAAUCUUAGUACCUAAAUUCGACUAAUGAUAUUUGAUACACACAUAGUUGGCAUAGUCGUUCAUUAUGAUAGAUAUGAAGUCAUUGGGGGAUACCCAGGUGCUGAAUUAUAUAGAGAGGUCACCUUCAUGGAUAUUUGGGGCAAACUUAUGGCUGUUGGGAUUUGUGGUGGCAACUUGAUUCAGAACUCAUAUAGGUGGUCAACAUCCGAAGGCAACAAAUCAGUUGUCCUUGGCACUAUGCUUCGUAAGGAUUGCAAAUACGGAAAUUUGGAAACUUCAAAUUACACCACCCUUUCAUUCAACCCGGAUCAUCCUCUAGCACGCGCACUUGAUGGUGAAUUGUUC